rnacentral:rRNA from 1 species
GACGAACGCUGGCGGCGUGCUUAACACAUGCAAGUCGAACGGAAAGGCCCUGCUUUUGUGGGGUGCUCGAGUGGCGAACGGGUGAGUAACACGUGAGUAACCUGCCCUUGACUUUGGGAUAACUUCAGGAAACUGGGGCUAAUACCGGAUAGGAGCUCCUGCUGCAUUGUGGGGGUUGGAAAGUUUCGGCGGUUGGGGAUGGACUCGCGGCUUAUCAGCUUGUUGGUGGGGUAGUGGCUUACCAAGGCUUUGACGGGUAGCCGGCCUGAGAGGGUGACCGGCCACAUUGGGACUGAGAUACGGCCCAGACUCCUACGGGAGGCAGAAGUGGGGAAUAUUGCACAAUGGGCGGAAGCCUGAUGCAGCAACGCCGCGUGCGGGACGACGGCCUUCGGGUUGUAAACCGCUUUCGCCUGUGACGAAGCGUGAGUGACGGUAAUGGGUAAAGAAGCACCGGCUAACUACGUG